rnacentral:lncRNA from 1 species
GUUAGUAUUUAAUAUGAAUUAUAUAAAUAUAAGAAGAAGUGGUAUGAGUGCCAAUGAGACAACUCUCAAUCCAAGUCACAAUUAUUAUAAAAAUAAACCAUUUUAUGUCAAAGGACGGUCUUUAACACGGCGCUUUGGCUCACACCGAACAGCAAGCUAUACACAUGAAAAAGGUAGGUCUCCAUAGAUGAUUAGUGUAAAACCAUACGAAUAUGUGUCUGUUAUAAUCAUUGCAUUCAUAACUUGCAAGUUAUAAGUUAUAAAGAAUAGCGAUAUUGAAAGUCAAUUCCUUUCAUCUUUUUGGCAAACAGAGCAUCAAAUUUCUCAUUGACAGCAACGGUAAAGAAGUUUUUCCAGUCUCCAACCUCACCU